rnacentral:rRNA from 1 species
UACGGGGGGAGCAAGCGUUGUUCGGAUUUACUGGGCGUAAAGGGCGCGUAGGCGGUUUGUCGCGUCUGCUGUGAAAACUCGAGGCUCAACCUCGGGCUUGCAGUGGGUACGGGCAGACUAGAGUGCGGUAGGGGUGACUGGAAUUCCUGGUGUAGCGGUGGAAUGCGCAGAUAUCAGGAGGAACACCGAUGGCGAAGGCAGGUCACUGGGCCGCAACUGACGCUGAGGAGCGAAAGCAUGGGGAGCGAACAGG